rnacentral:rRNA from 1 species
UACGGAGGGAGCGAGCGUUGUCCGAAGUUACUGGGCGUAAAGCGCGCGUAGGCGGGAAAUUUAAGUGAGAAGUGAAAGGCUGGGGCUCAACCCCAUGCAGUGCUCCUCAUACUGGUUUUCUUGAGGGUGGUAGAGAGAAGUGGAAUGGCUGGUGUAGCGGUGAAAUGCGUAGAUAUCAGUCGGAACACCAGUGGCGAAGGCGGCUUCUUGGGCCAUUACUGACGCUGAGGCGCGAAAGCCCAGGGGAGCGAACGGG